rnacentral:rRNA from 1 species
AUGUUUAGGCUAUCUAAGAAGAAUAUUGAUAGACUAGAUAAGCAUAGGAAAAAGUUCUUUUGGCAAGAGACUGAUGGUCGGAGAAGAUAUCACUUGGUCAGGUGGUCUAGAAUAUGCAGAUCUAAGAACAAAGGGGGUUUGGGAGUUAAAGAUUUGCACAUACAAAACAUCAGUCUCCUCACCAAAUGGUGGUGGAAACUGGAAACCCAAAAAGGCCUUUGGCAGGAGAUAAUCCGUGCUAAAUACUUCAGAAAUGAUACGAUCCCCUCGGUGAAAAGUAAGUUUGGGGAUUCCCCCAUAGGGAAAGCUAUUGUGAAAGUAAAGGAGAUAUACUUGGCAGGUAGAGAAGUGAUUUUAAAUUCUGGGAAUAUAACCAGAGUCUGGAAUGACCCCAUUAGGGGUGAUGCUCCCUUGCGUGCUAAGUUUCCGGCCUUGUUCAGCAUCUGUAAUUAUCAGGAGAUUACUGUUGCUGAAUUCAAAAAAUUUGAGGGUAGCGAUCUUUUUAGAAGGAACCUUCAUCCUCCCCUUACGGAUCAGUGGAACGAUCUAGUUAAGGUGGUUAAUUCUUGGCAUUUAUCCGAUGAGACGGAUCAUAUUAGCUGGAGAUUGGGGAAGAAAGGUAAAUUCUCGACCAAAUCGGUCUAUACUUAUUUGGAGAGAACCCUGGCGGGAUGCGAUUUCAGGUGGAUAUGGAAAGCAAAAAUCCCUCUUAAGAUUCAAAUUUUUCUUUGGCAAUUGUUCCAAGACGCGGUUUUGACUCGAGAUGUCAUGAGAAGGCGAAGAUGGGCAGGAAAUCCUAGAUGCUCGUUCUGCAAUGAGGUGGAAACCUCGCAGCAUCUUUUCUUUACGUGUCGUGUUGCUCGGGUGAUUUGGAGGACGGUUGGGUGUGUGUUAGGCACAUCGUUGUGUCCAAACAACCUUUGGCAGUACUUCUCCUGGUGGUACAUAUUCCUUCCUGAUGGAGCAAAAUUCUAUAUUUUGGUUUGGCAGCUAUAUGAUGGGCAAUUUGGGUCAGUCGCAAUCAGGCUACCUUUGAGCACAAAACUCUUAAAAGUCCUUUUAGUGUGGUUUAUGCUGCUUGUGGCUUUUUGA